rnacentral:ncRNA from 1 species
GAGUUUGAUCCUAGCUCAGGAUGAACGCUGGCGGCGUGGAUAAGGCAUGCAAGUCAAGCGAGCUGUGCAUAGCACAGAAAUUCCAAAAUUCAAAUCUCAAAUUCCAAACAAUGAUUAAAUUCCAAUUCUCAAAAAUUAAAUUUUGAUUAUUGAGAUUUGUUUGGAGCUUGAAUAUUGGAGCUUGGUGUUUCCGCGCUGUGCGCGGUUAGCGGCAGACGAGGUAGUAAUAAGCAGGUACGCACCCCCAAGUUGGGAAUAGCCAUUCGAAAGAGUGGGUAAUACCCAAUGGUCUGGUAAUCAAUCUUUGCUCGUGAUUUUUGUUUUGGAAAUUCCAAAUCACAAGUUCCAAAUCACAAAUAAUUUUUAAGUUUAAAUUUUAAUUGUUGAAAUUUGUUUGGAAAUUGGAGCUUGGAAAUUAUGAUUUUCGAGCAGAUUGCGAUUGAAGGUUGGUUACCAGUAAAAGAGAAAUCUGCUCGGGGAGCGGCCUGUUCAGUAUCAGCUAGUUGGUAGGGUAAUGGCCUACCAAGGCGAUGACGCUUAGGGGGGGUGAGAGCCUGUUCCCCACCGAUGGGACUGAGAACGGCCCAUACACCUACGGGUGGCUGCAGCCGAGAAUAUUCCACAAUGGGCGAAAGCCUGAUGGAGCGACGCCGCGUGGAGGACGAAGUGCUUCGGCAUGUAAACUCCUUUUGUGAACUAGAAAGUUUAUUGAUCGGUUCAAGAAUAAGAGGUUGCUAAACUCGUAAAAAUUAAAGUUUAGCAGCAAGAAAAGACUUGUACUCGUAAAAAUCCGUAGUGCGACUUCCUCGCGAAAGCGGGGUUG